rnacentral:rRNA from 1 species
UACGUAGGGGGCAAGCGUUGUCCGGAAUCAUUGGGCGUAAAGAGCGUGUAGGCGGUUCGGUAAGUCGGCUGUGAAAGUCCAGGGCUCAACCCUGGGAUGCCGGUCGAUACUGCCGGACUAGAGUUCGGAAGAGGCGAGUGGAAUUCCUGGUGUAGCGGUGAAAUGCGCAGAUAUCAGGAGGAACACCAAUGGCGAAGGCAGCUCGCUGGGACGUGACUGACGCUGAGACGCGAAAGCGUGGGGAGCAAACAGG